GUGAGGAAUAUUGGUCAAUGGGCGGGAGCCUGAACCAGCCAAGUCGCGUGAAGGAAGAAGGAUCUAUGGUUCGUAAACUUCUUUUGCAGGGGAAUAAAGUGCAGGACGUGUACUGUUUUGUAUGUACCCUGAGAAUAAGGAUCGGCUAACUCCGUGCCAGCAGCCGCGGUAAUACGGAGGAUCCGAGCGUUAUCCGGAUUUAUUGGGUUUAAAGGGUGCGUAGGUGGUUUGAUAAGUCAGCGGUGAAAGUUUGCAGCUUAACUGUAAAAAUGCCGUUGAAACUGUCGGACUUGAGUGUAGAUGAGGUAGGCGGAAUGCGUGGUGUAGCGGUGAAAUGCAUAGAUAUCACGCAGAACUCCGAUUGCGAAGGCAGCUUACUAAGCUACAACUGACACUGAAGCACGAAAGCGUGGGGAUCAAACAGGAUUAGAUACCCUUGUAGUCC
rnacentral:rRNA from 1 species